UCUGACCUGCCCACUGAUGUUUUAAAUGGCCGCAGUAUUUUAACUGUGCAAAGGUAGCAUAAUCAUUAGUCUUUUAAUUGGAGGCUUGUAUGAAUGGUUGGACGAAAUAUUAGCUGUUUCAUAUUAAAUUGAAUUAGAAUUUUAUUUUUUAGUUAAAAAGCUAAAAUGGUUUUAAAAGACGAGAAGACCCUAUAGAUCUUUAUAUUUUAUGUAUUAUAGUUAUUUAGAUUAUUUGAAUUAUGAUUAUAUAAAAUAUUUUAUUGGGGUGAUAUUAAAAUUUAAUUAACUUUUAAUUAGUAUUUACAUUAAUUUAUGAAUAAAUGAUCCAUUAAUAGUGAUUAAAAAAUUAAGUUACCUUAGGGAUAACAGCGUAAUUUUUUUGAAGAGUUCAUAUCGAUAAAAAAGAUUGCGACCUCGAUGUUGGAUUAAGAUAUAAUUUUGGGUGCAGCAAUUCAAUUAUUAAGUCUGUUCGACUUUUAAUUUCUUACGUGAUCUGAUUCCA
rnacentral:rRNA from 1 species